rnacentral:tRNA from 1 species
GUCCGCGUAGCCCAAACGGGAGAGGCCGCCGGCUCAAACCCGGCCCAGUGCGAGUUCGAGUCUCGCCGCGGAUACAA